rnacentral:lncRNA from 12 species
CUGCUACAUUUCACACACUCUGCUAACACUUAAAAUAUUUUUGUUGUUUGUCUUAUUUAACCUCGCAGCAGCCCUGUGAGUUAGCUGUGUCACAACUGAAAAAAAAUUGCGCUAAAAUGGAUAAAAAGACCUCACAUGUCUAGCCGGGUAAAGGAGGUGACUUAACCACCAAUUUAUUGCAAGAGGAAGUGAAGAUAUGGGUUGCUUUGCUUUAAGGCAGCCGAGAGUGUCCACAUGUCCAUAAUCACUGAACAUUGUUUUCAAUUCCAAAAACCAAGCUUUAUUGACAUCAAUUUCCCUGAUGAACAUAGAUGCAAGAAAUCUCCCCAAAAUACUAGCAAACUGAAAAGGAUCACGUUCCAUAAUCAACAGUAAUUGAUCUUUGGGAUGCAAGAAUGUUUCAACAAAUGCAAAUCAAUAAAGGUGAUAAACG